GAUGAACGCUGGCGGCGUGCCUAAUACAUGCAAGUCGAGCGAAUGGAUUAAGAGCUUGCUCUUAUGAAGUUAGCGGCGGACGGGUGAGUAACACGUGGGUAACCUGCCCAUAAGACUGGGAUAACUCUGGGAAACCGGGGCUAAUACCGGAUAACAUUUUGAACCGCAUGGUUCGAAAUUGAAAGGCGGCUUCGGCUGUCGCUUAUGGAUGGACCCGCGUCGCAUUAGCUAGUUGGUGAGGUAACGGCUCACCAAGGCAACGAUGCGUAGCCGACCUGAGAGGGUGAUCGGCCACACUGGGACUGAGACACGGCCCAGACUCCUACGGGAGGCAGCAGUAGGGAAUCUUCCGCAAUGGACGAAAGUCUGACGGAGCAACGCCGCGUGAGUGAUGAAGGCUUUCGGGUCGUAAAACUCUGUUGUUAGGGAAGAACAAGUGCUAGUUGAAUAAGCUGGCACCUUGACGGUACCUAACCAGAAAGCCACGGCUAACUACGUACCAGCCGCCGCAGUAA
rnacentral:rRNA from 1 species